GCUGGGCGUGGUGGCGUGUGCCUGUAGUCCCAGCUACUUGGGAGGCUGAGGCAGGAGAAUCGCUUGAACCCAGGAGACGGAGAUUGUAGUGAGCUGAGAUGACUCCACUGUACUCCAGCCUGGCAACAGAGUGAGACUCUAUCUCAAAAAAAAAAAGCAAGGACUCAGGCUCUCUCUUUUUUUUUCUUUUUGAGAUGGAGUUUAUUUUUAUUUUUAUUUUUGAGAUGGAGUCUCACUCUGUCGCCCAGGCUGGAGUGCGAUGGCGCAGUCUCAGCUCACUGAAAGCUCCGCCUCCCGGGUUCACCCCAUUCUCCUGCCUCCG
rnacentral:SRP_RNA from 1 species